AUGGAUUGAGUCCUCCGCGCCUGGACUUCUGUCCGCUCUUCUACUGAUACAAGACCUCUGUAGGACUGGGGACAGAUUCAGCGGCAAACUGAAAUCAGUCGAGUCUUGGACUCGGGAAAGACCUCCGCUCUGAAUUGAGUGAUCAAGGCCAGUUGGUCGAUCUUGAAGCAGUGUGAGAGUGAUGACAUACCGACAGCAUCAUAUGAGACAACCAAGGAACACGGAGGUUCAGCUGGAGGUGAGCAGAGAUUCUGGGCCCAAACCAGUGGAAGGUCCAAGGUUAAAUCCUGAUCGUUGAUGAGAUGAGAUGAAAGUCAGCUGUGGACACCCACUCAGCGGAAUGCUGAUCAGCUGUGAGACGUCGCUCAGAGCCAUGUGCUGUCUUGACAGAUGGGUGGAGCCCUGACGUCAGACGCCGCUCAAACAGCUCCCAUGUCCCAUGUCUUGACAGCCAGGGGACGAGCCAUGAUGUCACCAGCAGCUGAUGCACCAAGCAAACAAACUUGCCACAGCAGCUUCACCUGUUCCAGGAUGAUGUCACUGUGAUUUGUCGAGCCCCAAGACCUGCAAGAAGCCAAUCAAGAUAUCAGUUCCAUAAGAUCAGUUCAAACUUCACGCCUAAGUUUAUGAAUGCUAGAAAUGGGCGGGGCUUCAGUUAAUGUUAUUCUAAAUUGUACUUUUCAUUAACGGGCCUAUAUUCAUUGAUACCAGACAGCUGACAUGGAAUAAUUUUCAUGUUCGCAAGCUUUUACUCCUGAAAGUAUGCAGAGCUGUGUUAGCUUUUCAAAAGAAAUCUUGCAUUUGAAUAAAUGUUCCAUGUGCAACAAUCUGAUCUCAGCUCAACCAUAAUUAUUAAAGCUGAGGGUUCACACAAAAAUGAUGUUCAGUAUACCCAAAAUAGAACACGUGGACAUGGUUCAUGCUGUGACACCUUUCAGCUGACACCAUAGAUUCUUGUGGUCU